CUGUGGAAAACAAUGUGGAGGUCUUCAGGAAUCUAAAACUGGAGUUACCAUGUGAGUCCUAAUCCCACUUUUGGGUAUACAGCCAAAAGAAUUGAAAGCAGACUCUCAAAAAUUACUUGCAAACCUAUGUUCAUUUCAGCAUUAUUCACAACAGCCAAGACACAGAAGCAAAUACCAUUUACAUAUAAAUGGGCACAGAAAAUGUGUUACAUUCAUACAGAGGAAUAUUAUGUCACCUUGAAACAGAAGGAAAUCUUAUCAUGGGCUACAACAUGAAUGAGCCUUAUGCUGAGUGAAAUGGGCUUGUCACCAAGGACCAUAUGAUUCCGCUAAUAUUUAUUUAUCUAGUUAUUUUGGUACUGAGGAUCCAAUCCUCAGAUGCUUUACCACUGAGCUACAUCCUCAGCCCUUUUUAUUUUUCUAAAAUAACAACUAGAUAAAAACUAAAAUAUCUAAGUUUCUGAGGGUCUCUCUAAGUGGCUGAGGCUGGCCUUGAACUUGAGAUCCUCCUGCCUCAGCCUCCUGAGUGCAGGAACUACAGGCAUGUGCUGCCACACCCAGCUGGCUUAUAUUUAGAGCAGUCAAAUUAUGAAACAGGAAGUAGGAUGGUGGUUGCCAGUGCUGGGGGUCGGGGGAGAGGGGAUUGUUUGGUAGGUUUAGAGUUGCAAUUUUGCAAGAUGAAAACUUCUAGAGAUCUGCUUUUUUUUUGAGACAGGGCCUCAACUUUGUUGCCCAGACUGGUCCUGAGUACAUGGGCUCAACUGAUCCUCCUGCCACAGCCCCCGAAUAGCUUGACUACAGGUGUGCACCACCACACUUGGCUAAAGGUCUAUUACACAACAAUGUGAAUACAGUUAGUGCUACUGAACUCAAAACUGGUUCAACACACACACACGUGUGUGCGUGUGUGCGCGCGCGUGUGUGUGUGUGUGGGGGGGCACGCACGCAUCUGUAUCUCAAAGCAAUUGAAAGUAAAAAAGAAAGAAAGAAAAAGAAAGACAGAAAGAAGACAUUUAAGUGCUUGAAUAUGCCUGAGCACAAACUGCCAUCAGUGCCACUCCUCGGGUCAAAGGCCAGGUAAGUGCUCACUGGGUAAAAAUUCUCAGAAAGCAGGUCUGACAUCAAUACAGAAAACACCUUUACAGGCCCAGUGCCCAGCUUGAAGGAGCUGGUGAGGAGCGAGCUGCAGGACUGGACAGCGCUGCCCGUCACUGCUGGGCCGGCCCGGAAACAUCCGGGCUCCGAUGCUGGUGGGCUUUCAAGGCAGUUCUGCAGAUUUGAGAUCUGAAACCACAAAAGUGGGCUGAGGAGCAACAGGAGAGCAGAAGGUCAGCGUGCACAGCUUCCACUGGCCACGAGAUGAACCGCUGAAGCCACAGGGACACGGGCUGGAGCAGGAAGGGCUGGACAGCUACGCAAGGGGCCCUGGUGGCUAGGGCUGUGGCCUCCGAGGGAGCACAGAAAUGGAGCAGCCAAGGCCUAGGGUGAGAGGGAGAGGUCGUCCAGGGAGGGCAGCACCCCUGCCCUCGCAGCUUCCUGGGCCAGACAAGAAGACACUGGGUCUCCUGGUGUGAUGCAGCCAGAGGGCAGUGCCACCUACAAAGGGACACUUGCAA
rnacentral:lncRNA from 1 species